rnacentral:lncRNA from 1 species
AAUUGAUUGAUUGAUUAUUGGUAAUAAUUUGCACCUUCUGACAACACUAAUAAAAUUGUAUUGUCGAAGGAAGCCGUAGUGUCAUGAAUAUGACCUUCUUCAGCAAAAAUGGCAAUCAUAGUCAUUUAAGAUAAAAAACAAAAAUAAAAACAAAAUAAAAACAAAUAAAAACAAAAACAAAACAAAAAAUUAAUAAAGAACACAUACCUGCAGUUGUGUGCGAAUUUGUAACUGCCAACAAUCAUUAUAAAAACAUUAUCUUUGAUAAUUUUUGUAUCUUAAGUGUUCAGAAUGUGUGCUAAGAAUUGUUCGAAAAACUAAGGAUUUUCUUAUCCCAGGCAUAGAUUACCUUAGCCGUAUUUGGCAUAACUUUUUGGAAUUUUGGAUCCUCAAUGCUUUAAUUUUUAUACGACCGCAAAAUUUGAAAAAAUUUUGGUCGUAUAUUGGUAUCAAGUUGGCGUCGUCGUCGUCCG